rnacentral:lncRNA from 1 species
CGGAGAUUUGUGAUUGCUCUUUCUCCUCAGUAACAGCAGCCAUCCCUUUAUUCAAGACCUGAGAGGCCACAUUAUCUUUGGAGGAGGCUGGACAGCAUGAGUCGAAGGCUCUAGAGAAGCUUCAGGGCAUGCCCACGUGGACUAGGACGGAAAAUAGUCCUUUUCAACCACAGAGAAAAGUGCAGCCUGCUCUUGCCAGUGUGGGGAGACAGAUCUUCCAGCUGGAUCACCCUUACUCCUCUUCAGGAUCGAAGAUGGAGCAAUCUUUUAAGAACAAAAAUCGCUGGAGUCUCCUGGUGGCUGAGUGGUUAAGUUCCCGCGCUCUGCUUCAGCGGCCCAGGGUUUUCCCGGUUCAGAUCCUGGGUGCAGACAUGGCACCGCUCAUCAAGCCACACUGAAGCGGCAUCCCACAUGCCACAACUAGAAGGACCCACAACUAAAAUGUGCAAUUAUGUACUGGGGGGAUUUGGGGAGAAAAAGUAGAAGAACAAAAUAAAGAAGAUUGGCAAUAACUGUUAGCUCAGUGCCAAUCUUUUAAAAAGAAACCCAAAAAUUGUUCUGUCUUUCCUCUGUUUGAAACCUGGUUUCCCAGUUCACUUAAUAGGUCUAUUUAAACAUAAAUUAUAUCAUACUUUAACGUAAACUGAAC